rnacentral:rRNA from 1 species
CAGCAGCCGCGGUAAUGCGUAGGGUGCAAGCGUCAAUCGGAAUUACUGGGCGUAAAGCGUGCGCAGGCGGUUCGUUAAGACAGAUGUGAAAUCCCCGGGCUUAACCUGGGAACUGCAUUUGUGACUGGCGGGCUAGAGUAUGGCAGAGGGGGGUAGAAUUCCACGUGUAGCAGUGAAAUGCGUAGAGAUGUGGAGGAAUACCGAUGGCGAAGGCAGCCCCCUGGGCCAAUACUGACGCUCAUGCACGAAAGCGUGGGGAGCAAACAGGAUUAGAUACCCGGGUAGUCCCUGUCUCUUAUAC